AGGGAUGUUUAGCAUCGGAAUUUAUUAGGGAAAAUUGCUUUAGGCGUGAUUCUUAGUACAUGGCAACUAUAGAAGAAAUGAAUUAACAUUCAGUAGCUUUCUGGCUUUAACUGCCACUAUUUCAUCAAAGUCUCGACAAGUUGACGUUUAGUCGAAGGAAAGAAAGUAUUCACGUAGCGAGAUCAGAGUCCGCUUAUCAGCAAGGAAAAAAUUGAGCUCUCCAUUUAGACUGCUAUACUGAAGUGUGAGCAAUUUUAGUGACAUUUAGUUUUACAAAAGGAGCUUGAUUGCUCGAACUCAAAAGAUUCAAUUAACCACGAAGGGGUUCUUGGCAGU